rnacentral:lncRNA from 1 species
AUGAUCACUGUUAAUGUUGGGCAAAUUCUAAUGGCGUCCAGCAUUAUCGUCAAAUAUUCCAUCUCGCAGCUGCUGAGUUACAACCAGUGGUUACCUCCACCCUGCAUUCCUGUCAUAAAACAGCUCGGACUUCUCCGUCGACCCCGGUACGUCCAUAGAAGUUCCCGCAAUAAGUUUGUUUACCGCCAGCAUAAUGCUGCUUCAAUUCCUUCCAUCUGGUCAACGACUGCACGUGUCGCACCUGUGGGACGUCAUCAGAGCUCUGGCGUUAUUGGACAUUGUAGCAACCACCCGCCUCUUUUUCCUCUGAGAGCCGCUAGUGCUGGGCGAAAUAGAAAUCAUGGAGUGGAUUACAGUGUAUUGCGGAGCUUACAGAGACUUGGACCAAAAGAUCUGUCUUCCGCCACUGUGGAAUUAUUUAAUACACAAUCUCUUACAAAUAAAUCUCUUCUAAUCUACGAUCAUAUAUUGGAUAAAAAGCUGGAUUUUAUGUGCCUGGUCGAAACUUGGCACAAACCAGGGGAUUAUUCAGUGCUUAAUGAAGCCUGCCCCCAGGGCUACUGCUACCUGGAAAAAGCCCGCAGGUCUGGUCGAGGGGGUGGUUUGGCCGUCAUCCAUCGGGCUGAAUUGAAACUUUCUCCCCUGCCACUGCCUGACUUUAUUUCCAUGGAAUGCUUAGCCUUUAAAUGCAAACCUCCUCAUUCAAUGACAGUGUUGCUCAUAUACCGUCCCCCCAAAUCACACUCUUUAUUUCUUACGGAAAUACAUGACUUACUUACAUCACUUUGUUCAGUGUCAUCCAACAUUGUUAUUAUUGGUGAUGUAAAUAUUCAUGUGGAUAACCCCUCUUGCCAGCUGUCAAGAGAGUUUUUGAGUCUGCUUGAUUGUCUGGGUCUCCAGCAGCAUGUGAAGGCCCCAACACACACUAGGGGGCACACUUUAGAUCUCGUUAUUACUGACUCUGUCCCUAUUAAGAGUUUAGAUGUUUAUGAUCUGGGUGUGUCUGAUCACAAGGUGGUCUCUAUGGCUUUCACAUUUCAAUUGCCUACCACAAGACUCAAGCGUCAAAUGUCCUUCCGGAACUGGAAACACAUUGACCAAAACUCUAUGACUGCAGACCUCAAACAAAUUUCUUGUCCAGCCAUCUCAACUGUAGACGAACUGGUGGACCACUAUAAUGCAUCUUUGAGCAGUGUUUUUGACCUCCACGCUCCUAUUAAGACACGUGAAGUUACUUUUGUAUGCUCUGCUCCCUGGUAUACACAAGAACUAUGUAACAACAAUGAGUUUUACAUAGUAAUUAACUCAAAUGAUAUAUAG